UAGCUUUGGGACAGUUAACAGCUUUCGGCCUACACUUUGGUAAUCCAAAACACCACUGCCACCACCAGAAAGGCCGGACCUGGACCAAACUUGACACACACAACCCCAUGAACUCACUGACAACGGAUGGCCCCCUUUGGCCCCUCUGCUGACAUGUUUAAGGCCUUCCAGGCUGGCCCCUCGCUGCUAGGCCGAAAAGGAGGACGCCAUCUUGCCUCAGCUUUCAACUUCUUUGUAAGGCCCUACUUUCCUCAAAAGACAGCAGAGAACAUUGUUAUUAUCUUUUUAACGAUAUGCCUAUGAACACUUCUAGCCCCCAAAGCCCCAAUCCAAGCCUACUUUGAUCAAUUUGCUAACACGUUUCAGGCCUUGCAGCCUGGCUCCAUUGUGCUAGGCCGCAAAAGAGGCAGCCAUCUUCCCUGUUCCACAUGGUUCCAAACAGAGCAGCUUUUGCCUGUGUCUUUUGGAUACAGCAGUCUCCUUAAACAAGGUUGGCAGAAGCUUGGGCUAACAGUGGGAGUUCACCCCGCUCCCUGGAUUUGAACCACCGACCUUUCAGUCAGCAAGUUCAGCAGCUCAGUGGUUUAACCUGCUGCCCCACUGGGGCUCCAAUAUUGGCUGAAGUUACACUUAAAAUAUAACUGUUCCGACUUACAAAUAAAUUCAACAAGAGCAAACCUACAGAACCUAACUUGCUUGUAACUUGGGUACUGCCUGUACAGUUGACUAUUUGCUAUCAUAUACCUUCCAAUUGUCCUAACUUCACAGGGAUACUCUCAGUUAAUCCUCUUUUGUACCACUUUUUGAACUGCUUUCUUCUCCUUAGACUUUCUUCAAUUGCUGCAAACUGUGUUCAAAGUGCAAAAGUACCUUACAUUCCAUUCAUCAAGGGAAAAGGACAGGAGAAGCUGAAGCCCUGUCUUUCUCAGUAACAUGAAGCAAAAUCAUACUGCUGCAGCCACUCCUAGCUUAUCAUUUAUAGCUUUUGCCAUCUUGACAAUGUUCCGAUGUCCCUGGGCUACCUAUGUCCUGAUUUUCAUCUGUGAAAUUCUGAAGAUAUCCCACAAGAAACUGAUAGCCAUUCAUUUGGAGCUGCACACUCAGUAAGGAAUUAUAUUAUAUUUUCCUUUGUGAUUGACAUUGUUUGCAUAUUGAAUAAAAAUCAGUACUUAAGUUCAA